CUGGCUCAGGAUGAACGCUAGCGGCAGGCUUAACACAUGCAAGUCGAGGGGCAUCACGGGAGUAGCAAUACAACUGGUGGCGACCGGCGCACGGGUGAGUAACGCGUAUGCAACCUACCUAUCAGAGGGGAAUAACCCGGCGAAAGUCGGACUAAUACCGCAUAAAACAGGGGCACCGCAUGGUGAUAUUUGUUAAAGAAAUUCGCUGAUAGAUGGGCAUGCGUUCCAUUAGGUAGUUGGUGAGGUAACGGCUCACCAAGCCGACGAUGGAUAGGGAACUGAGAGGUUGGUCCCCCACACUGGUACUGGGACACGGACCAGACUCCUACGGGAGGCAGCAGUGAGGAAUAUUGGUCAAUGGGCGGGAGCCUGAACCAGCCAAGUCGCGUGAAGGAAGAAGGAUCUAUGGUUCGUAAACUUCUUUUGCAGGGGAGUAAAGUGCAGGACGUGUCCUGUUUUGUAUGUACCCUGAGAAUAAGGAUCGGCUAACUCCGUGCCAGCCGCCGC
rnacentral:rRNA from 1 species